UUUGCUAGCCACUUUGAGCCUAAGCCUUUCUUUCGGUGACAUAGCCUACAACUCUUAACCAUUUGACUUGAAAGAUUCUUUCUUUCCACCCUCUCUUUGGAGUUAGGUAGAAUUUUGGUUCUUAGAUUUGAAUGAAAAAUAUUAAAUUUAUGGUUGCUCUUGGAAGUGAGCAAAGUUCUAAGUUUGGGGUACUAGAGUUUAGUGGUCAAAAUUUCAAAAAUAUUGAGAAAAUAAGAAGUGGAAAAAGUCACA
rnacentral:lncRNA from 1 species